GAUGUCCUCAGUUUUGCAACAAGAAUUGAAGGAAACGUCACACUUUUAAGUGCAGUGAUAGCCACAACCAUGGGUAAAACCGAAUUAGCUAGUGAUAUAACCGUAGAAACUUAUACAGAAUACUUUCCCCUAAGUGGAUCUGAAACUACCGAUAGUUCAGCGUGUCCAUACUUCAUUGGAAAUCCACCACAAGCAAAUGGAAUGUGGACAACGACACUCCGUUUCGUUGUUGGUGGCAUACCGUCGAAGAAGAUCCUGGGGGAAAUUAUCCGACCGGACAAAUCCUCCUCCUCCAGGUUUUACAUCAAGGGAGGUGCUAAAACUGGAAAUUUGAAGGCCCAAACUCAAGUUCACCUAACAGUCAACAAUGCAGCUGGAGAGUGGACACUUAAAGUUAAUUACGAAAAUUCGGAUAAGAAAGCGAGUAGCAAACGCUCUGUAGGUGCCAGUGCAUGCACAAUGUUUUGAUACGAUUGCAGUUCUAGUUGGUGUGAAGUCAUUCCAAUGAAAAAUCUCUACUUCGAGAAUUGUUUAACAUUAAGGAAUUUUCGAUCGCAAGGAAAUCUGGACUAAUAUACAGUAUGAAAGUUAACCCUCUAAAGUGAUAGUAAUAAUAAUAAUUAACACAGCAUUUAUUAUGCGCCAUCUAUCUAGUGAACUAUUCCGAGGCGCAGAGGGAUUGGGAAUUACAGAUAAAAUAAUUUGCAUAUGUAUGGGUGCAUGAAUAAAUGAAAUUAGCUACCAAUAUAAAGAACAUCAAAACUAAUUGUACAAAGCGCUUAGAGCAAUUUCAAUCGAUUAUGCGCUAUAUAAGUACCAAUUUAUUAUUAUAAUUAUUACAACUAAACAUAUCUAGAUGCAUUUAUUUAAAACUGUUACGAAAUUGUAAUACGUUAUCAAAUAUCCUAAAUAACUGAGCAGACAUUCAAAUUGGAGUAGUAAAAUCUUGUUGAGCUAUUUCGGUUAAUCAGGUGUUAAACAAAUUAUGCUAAAGGAAAAUGGAACCCAGGUAUCUAGUGAGCUCUUGUGAAAACAGAUAAAAAU